rnacentral:rRNA from 1 species
GUGAGGAAUUUUCCGCAAUGGGCGAAAGCCUGACGGAGCAAUGCCGCGUGAAGGAUGAAGGCCUAUGGGUUGUAAACUUCUUUUCUCAGAAAAGAAUUAUGACGGUAUCUGAGGAAUAAGCAUCGGCUAACUCUGUGCCAGCAGCCGCGGUAAGACAGAGGAUGCAAGCGUUAUCCGGAAUGAUUGGGCGUAAAGCGUCUGUAGGUUGUUUAAAAAGUAUUCUGUCAAAGAUUAGGGCUUAACCCUAGAUAGGCAGAAGAAAUUUUUAAGCUAGAGUUUGGAAGAGGCAGAGGGAAUUCCCGGUGGAGCGGUGAAAUGCGUAGAUAUCGGGAGGAACACCAAAGGCGAAGGCACUCUGCUGGGCCAAUACUAACACUGAGAGACGAAAGCGAGGGGAGCAAAUGGGAUUAGAAACCCUGGUAGUCC